rnacentral:rRNA from 1 species
UCUGUCUACUGCACACAACUCUGUGACUCUCUGUUCUCAUCUGAUUUCAGAAGCUAAGCAGGGUCGGGCCUGGCUAGUAUUUGGGCAGGA